GUCAGAUGAUUUGAAUCCUACCUCCUGAGGCUCUGUGAGGACCAGCAUUCUUAUAGCAUGUUAGAGUUCUGAUGGCA
ensembl:snoRNA SNORD28 Small nucleolar RNA SNORD28